rnacentral:rRNA from 1 species
UGGAUACUAGGUGUGGGAGGUAUCAACUCCUUCCGUGCCGCCGUUAACACAUUAAGUAUCCCGCCUGGGGAGUACGGUCGCAAGAUUAAAACUCAAAGGAAUUGACGGGGACCCGCACAAGCAGCGGAGCAUGUGGUUUAAUUCGAAGCAACGCGAAGAACCUUACCUAGACUUGACAUCUCCUGAAUUACUCUUAAUCGAGGAAGUCCCUUCGGGGACAGGAAGACAGGUGGUGCAUGGCUGUCGUCAG